rnacentral:miRNA from 15 species
ACCUGCACUCUAUCAUAGAUGC